UCAGGACUCGGAUUACCCCCAUGAAAUCUCUCCCUGUCCCAAAGCACGUCCUGCGCGCUGGCUGAGGCAGGAGAAGUGUUCCAGUCUCUAUUGAAACCUGCGACUUCCACCACCCCUUUGGUGGCUGGGAAUGGCGCCCAGACAUGAAAUAACGAACUGAAACCCCUCCACGCGUUGACCAAAGAAAACAAGCUGUCAAACAGAAAUAUCCCCUCGCUCCUUUCCGAGGCGGACCCAAUCUCGUUCCCAUCUGCAGGCUGUGCGGCGCUGGGAAGGCAGCAUGAGGAACUCAGCAUGAAAUCGUCAGCGACGGCGUGCGGUGCUGUUUGUGCAGCAUAAAUCAGUCUGGGGAAUGAAGAGCCCCAUCUUCUUUCUUGCAGAAACAGCAGUUUGGUGAUUUCCUUGGCUCUGUGUUGCUUGCCACUGGACCAGCUGGCACUGGACGAAAGAGAGCGGCUGCACAUCUUCCUGCUCCUGGUGGUUGGGACUGUUAAAAGUCAGCCCUGUGCCACAGGUUGCCCCAGCUCUUCAGGUGAUAACCUGCUUCAGCAGCAGCUGUGCACAGAAUUUACUGGGCUGCAGCUGGGAAUCUUUCUCUUUGAUCCAUCUCUGCUAUUAAACAGCUUGUGAUAACGCCACUGAGCUCACAUCGAGGAGGGGAAGCCGAGCAACCUCAAUAUUGGAGCUGAGCAGCAGUGGGGUGCCCAUCUUAAAGCUGCAUCACCUCACUGUCUUCAAAAGCAAAGGAGCUCCUUUUAUAGCAGCGAGCUGCUCUCCAGGAAUGAUUAAAGUCUCGUAAACGAGCACCUUCCUCAUCACAGAGCUGUCUGCUGACGGGGUGCCAAGUACAACAAGCCCAAUCCAAAGCAUCAUCCCCUCCAUGGGGCUAAUUGUUGUUGCCUUGUCUCUUGAACAAGAAGAGUGGUAAGGGAAAGCAGAGCCUGGAGACACACGCACAUCCCUGUACAGAAAUAACCCCUGAAAUAGAACUGACAAGCAAUUGAGGAGUCGGCCUGUGGGCUGCAGACAAAGCACAGAGCAAAGGAGAUAACCGGCAGUGAGCACUGGGAAAUAAUGCCCUAAAUUCCCUCUGAGCCCAUUCAUCACCGUGGCUUCGGCGAUCAUCUCAGCAACAAAUUCCCCUAUCAUCCAACUGAAAUUCGAUGUUAAUGACCUGUCUGUUAUUUCAGGGGGAGAUUGUCUGGAACCGGUGGGUAAUUGGUAGGAAAAAUCGCCGGGUACAGCAAAGAGCUGAUGCUACUGGAGUCGUUACACCACGAGAGAGGGAGAUUAGGGAGCUCUGCUUACCACAAGGGGCUUAUUCAUCCUGAAUAAAUGCAUUAGCUGCCCAGAGCUGUCCUCUUAUGCCCUUGUUCCUGUCUGGUGGCAUCUCCCCACCACAGCUUUUCCCAGCAAACAGCAGAGAUGCAGCCCAGAAGAAGCUGCUAGAAUCAUAGAACACCCAGAGCUGGAAGGGACCCAUAAGGAUCAUCGAGUCCAACUGCUGCUGUUGAGACGAUCACAGUAAGGAAUAACCUGCUCUCUCCAAGCUCACACUGAUGUAUGCGUUUAUUCUGGAGUUCUCUCAGGAAAGACCAUAAUUACUCUAAUUUCUUAAUUACCGAAAUUAUUCAGAAUGACUCUGCAAACACCUCUGCCCUGCAACGUUUUGCACGAGCAGCCUCCCAGAUUGCAGCAGCGUUAGGAUUUGGGUUUGUUCCUCUGCUGGAAGGAUUUGCUGCGUUCAUUGCCAUUUCUCCUUGCCAUCAUGUUAGCGGGGCAGCCUGCAGCCCUCACCAAAAAUAGGAUAACUGGAGAGCAUCAGGGGAGAGCUAGAAGCAAGUCCAGAGGUAAAGCCUUGGCUCUGUUGCAAAGGAUAGCUUUGCUGGGACUUGAUGUCUGUGCUUUUUCUCAACAGUUUCUCAUUCCCAUCUUGCUAACGGGACCAGCACCAGUCAUGUUUCGGUGAGCACACCUGCUUUAUAAAUUAGCUCCCAGGAGUAUUUGCAAAAACAGAGCUGAACUGCAUGGCCACGGGACUGGGUUUGCUGCAGAAAUACCAGCACGUAUUCAUAAUAAAGCAGCUGCACGCUUUGCCCAGCUCUGUCUGUAACUUCCCGUCAUGUCCUGUACCUUUCUGGGCAGAAAGAAUGGGUGGUAGUGGUGGGAAAAUUGCAAAAUCCUCCUUGGCUAGAUGAAGCAAUUAUUUUUGAUGCAGAUGGGGCUGCUUUUAACCCUACGUAUUCCAAACAUCUCUGUAUAACCCUAUGGGUUCUCCACCGUUGUAGGCAGUGAUGGAGAAGGAAAAAAAUGGGUGAGUAGGAUUUAACACCCAGCCAGAACUGAACUGUACAACACCCGACUGCAGAAGGGUCGGUUCUAUGCCCUUUAUGCGCAGUAGGCACCGCUGCUGCCUGUCCCCAGCAUGGCACGAGUUGGGGACCAUGAGUGGUGAGGAGCUCUCGUGGUGCCUCUCCCUGAGCUGCAGGCACAAAGGUUGGAUUUCUUCCCUAUGGCUGCGUGAAGAGCUGCUGACUGCUCCACCAGGAACUGAGGCAAUAAUCCCAGCUUGUCGUUCUCCUUCUCAUGGGAGACUUCUUGUGCAAAAGAAGCAUCAGUAGAAUGAAUCAAACGCUGCGGUAGUGGCCCCAUUCCCACGUGCUCUGUGUGCUCUUCCUCUCGACUCACCGGUGAGGAGGCGGUAUCAUGGGGAGGCUGUUCUGAAAAUGCUUUUAAUUGAUUUAGUUCAUAGCUGUGUUGGAGCAGGAAGGUGUUCCUUCCUUGUGCCCGGGAAUGGCAGAAUGUCCUCCAGCUGCCCCCAGAGAUGCAGCGCUGUGCCCGGGUAGCACUGCCUUGCUGCUGGCCAUCCGUGCCAAGCCUGGGAAUGAAAGCUUUGGCAACAGCCUGGACCAAGCUCUGGUAUCUUCCUUAUCGAGAAGCAUGCUGAUUACUGCAGACAAAUUGGAGAUGAACUUGCCUCUAGAGCCCAACGUGUUUGUGAAAUGAAUUGCAGUUACAUGGGGAUUUAUUAUUUCUGCAAAAGAGGCUUUCUUAUCAUGAUUUUUCCUUCCAUCUUGGACUCAUUGCUACCAGACCAGGAACCUUCAAACAGAUGUGUUUGGAGCCUUGAUGUGGGCUCACAGUGGCUGGGAAUCUUCUUGUUAUUCCUACAAAAAACAGACUCCAGCUGGAGGGGAAGAAGAGCCUCCAGCAUUAGAGAUGACCUAAACAGCACAUGUUGCAAAUGAGAUGGGAAGUGGAGAACUGCUUGAAACAUCUCUGGCCCUUUCAGCAGAACUGUUUUCCCUUUGCCUUCUCAAGGCUGAGCUGCAGACAUUGCAAGAAUGACCCCAGCAGACUGCUGCUGUUUCUGUUUUGCAUGUUCACAAGGCAGCUUCUGAAAUAAGUUUGCACACUGUUGAUCUUGCACUGGACAGCCUCACAUCAGGUGGCAGGGAAGCCCCUGCUCAUGCUGCCCUGACCCUGCUGCUCUUACUUCCCAUGCUGAUGCAUCAGUGCAUGAUGUGGCUGGAAAUGAGGUGGUGCAGGGUGGUCUCCUUGGGUUUUGCAGCUGAAAUAGGUUACUGAGCUCCUGAAGGCAUCCACCAGGAUUGCUAUGGCCUGGAACAGCACUAGGAAAGAUGCUCUGCUUCAAGCUGGGGUUGUGCUGGUGGUGGGAGCUGGGGAUUUCAAAUCUUCCUACAGUUGGAUAUUUCAACCAAUGGCAUAAAUAAUGGAAAGCCUUCCAAAAGAAUGCCAUCCUAAGGGCUGUUCCCCUAAGAAGAAAUGCAGGUCAGGAAAUACAUUGGCCAUAUGAGUUUGUGAGUCCUUUCAAUUGUGAACAGUGCACUAAUCAAGAUUUGGCUAAUGGGUAUGCUGGGAUAUGCACACAGAUAUGCUCUUCUUUUGAGUCUUUCUCUUUACCUUUCAACCCCUGAAAUCAUCCAAGCUGCUAACACUCUGAGGAGGAUGAUGCAGCAAAAAUAAUAGUUUUAGCAAGAAGCAGAAAAAUGAGAUUAGCAUCUGUUUUUCUGGGAAAAAUAUCAACUUUUCCUGCUUAGAAAAUGAAUGGGUUGGAAACCAGCUUGUAAAACUCAAAGCCUGAUUCAGGCACUGAUUUGUCACGGGGCUGUCACCUGCAGUCACUGUUAGAGAGGAGCCCUCAAUGUUCUGUCCAAAAGGAACGAUUGCUGUCUGAGUUAUUGAUGGAUUCGUAUGUGGGGAAGAGCAAAUCCUGGUCAAGCUGGAGGACUUUUGCACACAUUCAGCAGCGGGUGAGUAAAGUUAGUGGAAUACAGAACCAUCCCUGCUCGCUGCAGAGCAGCCCCCAAGGAGCACAGUGAUAAAUGAAUUGCAGAAAGCUUGGAGCUUCAACUCGGCCAGGGGAAAUAACGCUGUGUCUAUCUGAUCUCUGCAAACCUGGCUUUCCGCUUAUGUGCCUGAUGAUAAAUCAGCAGUAAAUGUGCUUAGGUUGGCACGCCAAGUUUUUCCCUGGAUGCUGUUCUGUAGGCACGCACUUUCUUCACCACAAGAGUCCAGAUCUGGUGCAGAAACCACAAGCGUGGUACAGGCAGGCGGCAUCCCAUCCCAACACCAUUGCAUUGCCCUUGGCCUGCCAGCCAGAGCCAGCCCAGCACAGCCAUGGGAGAAGGAUGGCAGGCACUCCAGGAGGACCUCUUCAAACUGCAGAGAAGCCUCGUGAGACAUUCCGUGGAAGGUGGCAAGCAUUGGAUGAGUAACAUUUCCCCAUAGUGCAUUAAUCAACGCCUGCUUGGCCAAGCAGCAGUCAGUGUGAGAGGAGGACGAGUUGGGCUCCCAGGCACACGGGGAACUGCUGAGACAAAGAUUGCACACAGCAGCACCACAGUGACAAAGCUGCCUUGGUUCAGCACCCAGGGGCACUGCCACAAUCCCAGCUCAGAGAUGGGAUGGGAGGUAUGGUGUGCAACUCGUUGCUGGUUCCAUGAGAGCUUCUCCACGGCGCUCACACAGGGACAUAAAAUGUGAGGGGUGGCCUCUGUCCUCCUGGCACCGUGGUUCCCUGAGUGCAGCUCCCUUCCUUGAGCAGGAUCAGAGCAGGGCUUCGGAGGAUCCUAUGCAGAGAGCAUCCUCCAAGGACGUGUUUUCAAAGACUCUCCAUCUCCCAAAGGCUGAAUAAUCUCAAGAAAGGGCCCAGGAAGAAGUGAAAUCCUCUCCAGAACGGUCAUUUGCAAGAGUGUGUUUCCGUAACCUUGCAUUGUUACAGCAUCACAAGGAUUUGUCUCCUCUUCUGGCUCCAGCACGCAUGUUCCUGGCUCCCAUGGAGGCACUGUGGACAGCCCAUGCCAUACAACGUGCCAGAAACAUGACCUCCCCAUGAACUUCGGGCCAUAUUUUCAAGUCUGCGCCCAGCUCCUUGCAGGCAGGGCUGUCUGGCCAGUGCAUUCUGGCCCUUUUGCAUGGAAAAUGAGCUGUGUCAGCCUUCGUGGCCCACUGGCUUGCCAGCUGCAUCCCUAACAGCACUUUGCAGCCUCCUCCCUCCGUGCUCAACAUGUUGCCUUCACCUGGCACAUGGGACAGCAACGAGGGGACUGUGAGCUUGUCCUCGGUGGCUGGGGCCCAGCUGGCCACCCCCAUCUCCCCACUGCAGCCACCGCACGCUCCUCGAUGCAGCAGAACUCAAUGUACAGCCCUUUUAUUUUUCCUCCUUGGUUUUCCUGUUUCCAGAACAGUUGAAUAUUUUACUUGCAUCGUGCCCCAGUUCCCCAGUUUCCAGCAGGCAGAACAGGGCGAUCUGUACUCACCUCUUGCAGCAGCUGGUGCUUGUUCCCCUGGCAAAACUUCACUUUGGAGCUGAACCCAACAAUGCUGCUGACUCCAACUGAUUCUUUCUCCCCCAGCCUAAGGCACUUUAUGAUGAUAUUAAUAACCAGACACUGAGGUUCAGCACUAAGGAUUUCUUAAGCUUGCUGCUGGGGCUGUGAUUGAGCUUUGUAGCCAUCUCUGCUUCAUCCCAUGAUCCAUCAGGGUUGGUGGGGACACCCAGACCUCUUUUGGGAAGUCCCUCCACAGCUCCUCCCUCCCAUAGCACCCAUGGGGUCAGGGGCAGACCGGGUGCUCCCAGACCUCUUUCCUGUUCUGCCCUUAAUACAUCAAAGGGAGAUCUCUUGUUCGAUGGUUCUCUAUUAACCCUAUUCAUGAGUCUUUUAAUUAGUGUUGCCUUCUGCUAAGUAAUCGCUUCAGCAUUAGCUCCUCUGGGGCAAUGCAGAGCUGCAACAGGGCACUGCAGGAGCUGCAUGCUGCUGUUCUGCUUUCUGGACCUGCUCCUGCUGGCAACUAUGCCAUUCCUUUUGCACAGACCGCACAGUGCCAGAGCAGCCCACUAAAACUUGCAAAGAAAAGCAGAAAGAAGCAUCUGAAACCCCACCAGGAGCUGCGGCAGGUAGAGUUCUAUCCUUACAUCUGGGAAACCUCCAGCUCAGCUCAAUCCUGCUGAUGCACUGCUAAGGGGAGCUUUGUAGUGGCCCUAUUCAAAGCACUCAGCUCUGGGGGCAUGUUUCCCCCAGCACCCAGGAGUAAUGUUUCCUUUGUUAAUUCAGGGUCCCCACCAAUCUGCAUCACCCCAUGCCUGGAGGCAGAGCUGCCAUGGCUGCCUUUUAUCCCCUGCAUCCUCCGGCAGAGCUCACAAAGUGGUACUUUGUACCAGAGCAAGAAACAAGAGACGUGAGCUGUAAUACAGGAGAGAGAGAAAAAAAAACCCUCAUCUCACCCCUUGUGUUUUUCCUGGAAAUGUCACUGCCCUUAAUGCAUCAAAUAAUUAGAAUCACUUCUCCCCUUUUGUUUGCCUUGGCCCUCACUGCUCGCAUUGAGUGGGCCAACAUAAACCUGUGCGCACCACAGGAAUUUUGGGCACAGCCCAUUCUGCAGUGUUGGGUGCAGGGGGAGAAGUGGCUGCAGGAGCUUUGGUUCUGCUCCAUAUGUCUCUGCUGCUGUGGGCACUGCUGGGCACAGAGCUCCCGUAGAGAGGACCUCACUGCAACGCUAGCGCUCAACCAAGUGCUGGUCCCAAUGGAAAUCCACUGUCCUGGAGAGAAGCAGCAGCAGCUGAUGCCCAUUUAAUGCCAAAAUUGCAGAUUUGUGUUUGACCUGAGUGGUGGGUGUGAGCGUGAUGCUGGCGGGACAGAUGGGUGGAUAGCUCUCUGAAGUCCCAGUGGGAUGUUAUGCUUGUUGCUCUGUAGUUGUAGCCUUCUCCUCUGGGUGCUGGGGAGUGCUCCGAGGUGACGUGGGAGAACAUAUCCCUUGUGAAUGCUGGAAAGCUGUGCUGGGUGAGGUGGCAUUGCACCACUAAUCCACGCACAGAGGAGCCCAGCACCCCCUCAGCACCCCUUACAGACACAGAUGGACACAGCCAGCAUCACAGCCCAGCUGGCUGCCUGCCCCCAGCACCGCUCCCAUGGGCUGCAUGUAUGUCAAUGGGUUAUUAAAGAAACGGAUGGGGGAUUAGCUGUGCUGUAGGUAGAGACCCCAUUCAGAUUUGCUAAGUUUCAGCAAGUAUGUUUUCAAUAAUUGGCUGGUAUUUGUAAGAAAUGAAUAAAACCUAGGCUACUAAAGCUGGUCCUUCUCUUAUUAUAAGGCAUUUAUUGCAUGCUUAGAAGCAUAUGUCUUCAAUAUCUGAAGCAAAGGAAAGUAAUAUAUAAGGAUCCCUUCUUAAACACAAAUAUAUGCAGCCAUAAUCACAAUUAUUAGCCACCAUGAAAUAGCUAAGAAACUGAAGAAGCCCCAUCAGCAGCAGCUUUACAACUAGGGGUGCAUAAGAAAUAAAGACAAAGGCGAGAAUUGCCCUCUUAGCUGUGCGAGACUCCACAAGGCAGAGGAAGGAUCAGCUUUGCUGAGGAGUGUUGGCAUCUCGGAGAAGGUUCACAGAUGAAGCCAAUGGAGAAGGGUGUGCAGGAGCGGGGCAGGGAAUUGGGAAGCAGCGCUGCUGCUGGUGGUUGUAUCCUUCUGAAGAAAGAACACUGGAAAACCAAAGCUACCUGUCACUGCUGCUGUUAUCGCAGAGGUAUUUGGGAGAGGGUGAGCGAAUGUUUCUGUAGAACUGCGUGCUGAUUUAUUGGUACGGAGGGAGGUGCAGCGGGGAAACCACUGUGCGGAUCGUUGGCGAGGAGGGGCACGUGGUUCUCCAAAGAUUUUUGUCUGAAAACGCAAUCAGCUGAAGUCAGCGCUGCGCCGAGGGUCUGAGCAGAGCUCGGUGCUGCUCAAGGAGGCACUUUCAUGUAAGAGGGAAGAAAUGGGCCCUGGCUCGGUGUAUAUCCCUGUUGGUCUUCUGAACACUUCGCAUUGUGUCUUCCUCCUCACUGCACCGCCCUGAAGCACAUACAGAAAAUGAUUGCUGAAAACGGGGCGUCCGCGAGUCACAAUGAGCGCAAUUAAACCAUGGAACGGAUUCCCCAGGGAUCUCACGCAUCCUUGGCUGCUUGGAGGAGCCUCAGGGCGGGCUGCAGCAGCUCCUUCCCUUUGGUGGAGCAGCGCUGUUCCUCCUGGGAUUUGCUCCAAACGGACAGCUCUGCUCUGCUCCAGCUGCUCGGUGGGUUUCUCUCCAGCACGUUGCUGGUUUGCACAUCGUUUCAAGCCUGCAGCUGUUAUCGGGCUGUUGGUUUGAGCGUUGUUCACUUCCAAUCCCUGCCUCAUUGCAGGGGGAGACCAUCCCUGGAGAUCCUCCCCUCUCCCAUCUCCAGGGCACCGAUCCUCAGCCACUCUGAGCGCAAUGCAGACACCACACAGCUCAGCAGGUUUCAGUGCCUCUGCCACCAACUGCGACUCAAAUCCAAAGCGAUUUGGCUUUGUUUUGUUUCUAAGUUGCUGCUCGAGCUUUCUUGGCUCACAGGCAGAUUUUCUCUUCCAAGGUUUCAGUGGUGGAGGGCCGUUUCCCUAAUCCCCAAUAGUUUGAGAUUAUCUCCAGCCAACAAUUAAUCAGAAUCAGAAUUUUGCACUGCUUGCCUGUGCUGCCGCAUUGAGUGCAUGUAAAACCCUCU
rnacentral:lncRNA from 1 species